ACUCGAAAGAGUGGCUAAUACCGCAUACGACCUGAGGGUGAAAAGCGGGGGGACCGAAAAGGCCUCGCGCGAUUGGAGCGGCCGAUGUCAGAUUAGGUAGUUGGUGGGGUAAAAGGCCUACCAAGCCUGCGAUCUGUAGCUGGUCUGAGAGGACGACCAGCCACACUGGGACUGAGACACGGCCCAGACUCCUACGGGAGGCAGCAGUGGGGAAUUUUGGACAAUGGGCGCAAGCCUGAUCCAGCCAUGCCGCGUGCGGGAAGAAGGCCUUCGGGUUGUAAACCGCUUUUGUCAGGGAAGAAAUCCUUUGGGUUAAUACCUCGGAGGGAUGACGGUACCUGAAGAAUAAGCACCGGCUAACUACGUGCCAGCAGCCGCGGUAAUACGUAGGGUGCAAGCGUUAAUCGGAAUUACUGGGCGUAAAGCGUGCGCA
rnacentral:rRNA from 1 species